UUGCGCUUUAAUCAGGUGAGACAGCCGGCGAGACGUGAAUUUUUUCCUUUUCUCUUUACAGGCAGGCAACAGAAGCACAAAUUGUGUGGCUUGCUGAGUUCGCAUAGGAAUGGCCUUGCUAGCGAUGGAGGGAAAAUCCAGAUCUCCCAAGUACCAGACCAGCAUCUCCAUCAAAGAUCAUCCUUCUGCCUGGUUUCUGCUCUGGUUCCUGAAUGAUGCUCAACCCUUCUGUUCCUGAAGCGGAGCCUGUGCUUAGGACAACGCAUACAGCAGCUGAUGGAGAAUGCGCCGGCAUUUUGGAGGUGCUCAGAAAGAUCUCUAUAAGAGCUAAGCCACCGUUGUGCUGCCUCCCCAGCUAGUUCUGCAAACCAGCUUCCUGCCUGUGUGAGCACAGACCCAACAAAGGAAUUGCUUGAAAAUGGAAAUUCUUGCACCACUCCCUUUCCAGCGUGUCUCCUGAUGCUGACUAGUUGCCACCAUGCCCUCCAUCCUGAAGUGCAUCUGAGGGCAUUUCUAACUCAAUAUUGGAGUUCUUUAAAGAAGUACAUUCAUCACAGGACUUGCAUUUAUCUUUGGUGGUUCUCCCUUCCUCCCUGUCCCUCUGGUGAUGACAUCGGCUUCCAUAUUACACGUGUGGGACUGCAACAGCUGAAAGCAGGGCUGGGGGAUUCCUCGUGUGCAUCCAUCAUCUCUAAAUGCCUCUCUGCAUCCUGGUCUGAAUUCAGCAGCAAGUACAAGCAGCCUGGCUCACCGACAGCAGAUAAAGAAGAGCCAGCAUCCAAACUGGAUCCAUUUCUUUGAAGCUUAAAAAAUGGUCCGCUG
rnacentral:lncRNA from 1 species